rnacentral:rRNA from 1 species
UGCUUAACACAUGCAAGUCGAGCGAGAAAGUUCCUUCGGGAAUUAGUACAGCGGCAGACGGGUGAGUAAUACAUGGGAAUCUGCCUUUAAGUGAAGAAUACCUUUGGGAAAUCAAAGUUAAUACUGCAUAUCUCCUCCGGGAGAAAGAUGGCUUUUAUGCUGUCGCUUGAAGAUGAGCCCAUGCGCUAUUAGCUAGUUGGUGGGGUAAAGGCCUACCAAGGCGAUCAUGGCUAGCCGGCCUGAGAGGGUGAACGGCCACACUGGAACUGAGACACGGUCCAGACUCCUACGGGAGGCAGCAGUGAGGAAUAUUGCACAAUGGGCGAAAGCCUGAUGCAGCGACGCCGCGUGGAGGAUGAAGGUCUUAGGAUUGUAAACUCC